GGAUAUCAUCAUAUACUGUAAGUUUGAGAUGAGACACUACAGUAUAGAUGAUGUACUA
rnacentral:pre_miRNA from 1 species